CCCGGUCCUCUCCCAGACUUCCCUAUCACCGUGGAUGGCUGGUCUUCGCCUGGACCUCCGAUGGGAUUCAGAAUUCUGGGAGAAGCUGAAUCAACAGCCUGGAAAACUGGAGCCUUCCGUUUCUCUUGCUCAGGCAGAGAAAGAGAUUGAAUCUCAAACUAUACCUCACAGAAGCACAUCAGGACAUUUCAGCCUGGUUAAAAGAAUACACAAAAAAACAGCUCUACAGACAUGCUUCUCCUGUGACAAGACAAUAAGAUAACCAGCAACACUCAAGGAACUAUCACACCUACUUCUUAAGUACUGAAUGUUAGAAUUUUUUAACAGCGCUCAUUUCACAACUUAAUAUAAUGGCAUUUGGGAUAUAGAGAGAUUCUGAACCUACACCUCACCUUCACAUUAGUUGAACCAGUUAUUCACAAUCACCGAGACGGUCCGCUAAAAUACUUUUCUCGUGGCCGGUUCGGAACGACAGUCUGAGUGAGAGGAGGCGCGGUUUCAACACUAACCCUAACUCUACGGCAGGGUGACGAAGAUUUUGUACCUUCCACGCAGCUGGCUUGGGUGAGUAUGAAAGAAGUGAGCCUUUUUUGAAAAGAUUUUUAAUGUUUGUGGAAGUGCAAGUUUUCUACAACUCCAAGAAAUUAAUGAGUGCAACUUGUCAAAGUUUGCUUUAUUUAAUACACUCUAUUCAAAGUUCGAUAAUAGCUACAGCAGUGGAUAAACGCUUUCGAAACAGGCAAGUCUUCCCCUGUAUCCGGAAGAAAAUUAAGUGAAAGUACUCUACAUGGUAGAAGGGAAACAACUGCUGAUACCUGUGGCUAGACAAUUCAAAACAACAACCUGGAAAUUUCUACGGCCCUUCCUAAAAGAGCCACGGCAACAGGUAAAGACACCGCUACGUCAGGAAAACGAAGGAAAGGACCGUCUGCCAGGUACAGAUUUGAAGAAUUCUGUGGGAUUGCUGGUAGACAUUUACAAUUUGCCUUUGAGAGAAGUCUCCCCUUUAGGUGGACUACUGUGUUCUGGAACUCAAACGAGACAGUCGGAUGAGAGUGGCAAAAAGACAUGCACAGAAUCGACUGGUCUGACUUGCUUUCGUUAACUGCAUAAAACACGGGAUCAAGUCUCACGAGCACGAUCUGUUUUACCAAGGUCUAAGCACGCUAGAAUGUACAACCCAAAUAUCCUCAGACACCACUUCACCAUCUGGCGAGCAAAAAAAGGGAGCCACCUCCUCUCAGUUUAUUAGCCUUUCUUCCUUCUUGCGGUCUAUCGUCUCAGAAAAGAGCACUCUCCAGAUGUAUCUAUCGGGAGAAAGAUCACUCGGGAGAAAGUACAGUGAAACCAACCGAGCAGAAAUCCGGGAGAAAAACCUUCUGAAAAGAUGUUCUCUAUCCUGUGAAAAAUAAAGGUACAACCGAUACUUCUCCUUAUGGAAGGGAGAAACUAGUCCUUUUCGCACUGGGAGCAGAAAUAAUCUUUUCCUUUCACCCCGCCCCCGUCCCCCUCACCCCCCCCCCACAACACACAUUCUUAGAUUGACUUUUGUUGUUUUGCUAUAUGACUCCACUUUGAAACAUACAGCUGGCUAGUCAGUAUUUUUUU